rnacentral:lncRNA from 1 species
AGAAGCUAUCAAUUCUAAGCUUAAAUAGACUUAAUAACAUCCCCUGAAAAUAGUCGUAGCAGAAAAUUGAUGAAAACAAGAUGAAAUUAGCAUCAUGAAGCCUCUCUCACAAAAAAUGUCAUUAAAUAAAAACCUAAACAGGAGCUCCUGUUGUGGAUCAGCAGUAACAAACCUGACUGUGAUCCACGAGGGCACAGGUUCGAUCCCUGGCCUCGAUCAGUGGGUUAAGGAUCUAGCGUUGGGGCUUGCAGGUCACAGAAGGGGCUUGGAUCCUACACGCUGUGGCGAAGGCCAGCAGCUAUAGCUCAGACUUGCCCCCUAGCAUGGGAACCUCCACAUGUCCCAGGUGGGGCCUUUUUAAAAAAACAAACAAAUCAGUUAACAAGCUUAACGUAACAGAUACACACGGAAUAUUGUAUCUAUAUUUUUUUCCUUUGCUUUUUAGGGGUGUGGCUGUGGCUUAUGGAGGUUCCCAGCCUAGGGGUCCAGUCAGAGNNNNNNNNNNNNNNNNNNNNNNNNNNNNNNNNNNNNNNNNNNNNNNNNNNNNNNNNNNNNNNACCCACUGAGCAAGGCCAGGGAUUGAACCCGAGUCCUAAUGGAUCCUANUCGGGUUCGUUAACUGCUGAGCCAUGAAGGGAACUCCCAAAGUAUUAGUACUAUACAGACUUUAUUCACUGAACACAGGUGAAAAAAAUUUAACAAGGCAAUUUUCAAAAUCUAUGAGUUGGAAAUGUUAAAUAUGUGAUGAGUAAAAGAUGAAAUCACCAGUAUUUAGGAAAAACCAAGUGAUGAGUUCAUUAAAUACCAUGUCCAUUUUAUAUCACAUUAGAAAAAAAAAAAAAAUCAGACAGCAAACACCCAAAAUCCAUCUAUGAGUAGAUUCUAGUGUCUUCUUAAAUGUCAGCCCUUUUGCAAGAAGUUAAUUUAAGACCGCAACAAAGAAAUACGGUGAUAGUUUAGUCAUGCAUUUUGGGUAAAGCCAGUAUAAAUUCUAAGUUAUUCAAAAAACCUUGAACUCUUAUUUCCUCUUUCACAGUUUUCUAUGUAAGAACAAUAAAUCCUAUUUGUUUAUAUCAGUUAUGUAGAUUUCUCAACACAUUAGCAUUCCUAAUUGAGAGCUGACUCAGCAGUUUAUCUCCAUUGUCAACACCUGAGGUAUGCCUUAGAGACAUUAAAAGAAUAGGAUUAUUAGGUCUUAAAGAUUAAACUAGAGUAAAACAAACCACUUCGCCAUCCCAGUACUUUUUAGUACAAAUACAGAAUCAAUGGACUAAAUAAACGUAUUAAGUAAAAGACAUUUAACAUCAGCCGAGAAACUUAACAUCGGCAUGACCAAGAGAAUUACACACACGUGGAAUAUGUGAAGCAAAGUUUAAGUCAGAAAUGCCUGCAGAACUAUUAAUGUAAUACAGGAGCCAAUACAGAAUUCACGACCAUGUUUUAUCUUGGAAUGACAGCUUACAAGCCUCAGUUAGGCCCUCUGUUCUAUGACACGAGAGAGAAAACACUCUCCCAGGAGGGACAUGCCUCAAAGGAUCUCAAUUUGUUCACUCAAGAACGAGCUGGAGACCUACCGCCCCACUGCUAGACAUGAAGAUGUUUAACAGCUCACUUCUAAAUCUUAAAAUAGAAAUAUCUUCAGUUGCAGCAGCCUGUAGAAUGCCGUCACAUGCGAACCGACCGCACACGUCUGCCAUUCCCAACCCUCCUAGAGGUGGUGGUGUGAAUUGCCUUUUCAAUCUUUGCACUUUUCUUCAUUAACACUUCCUUGCACAGAACAUUGCAGAACAGUAAGAUCAAUAUGGUUCCUUCCGUCUCAGUCUUGACCAGGAUACUGGUGUACUUAAUCUGAAGAGCUAAGUAUCUCUUGGUUCUCUAAUACUGAAAAUUAACCCGAGUGUUUCUUUAUAGCAUCACCAAUAAGUGAUACCACCAUAUGAUUGUUCAAACCUGAAGCCCUAUGUUUAGCAAGUCAAAAUACAAGACAUCUAGUUAAACUGGAAGUUCAGAUAAAAAGAUUUUUUUUUGGUUUAGAAUAUGUACCAAAUAUCACACGGGAUAUUUAUACUAAAAUACUAUUCAGUGUUCAUCUGAAAGUAUAACUGGAAAUCCUGGAUUUUACAUGACAGCUCUAGCUGCGAUUCUUUCUAUGCCUCCCACACAUAGUCCACCCCACCAAGACCUAUCAAUUCUACCUAAGAAGAUCUAAAAUCCACCCAGUUCUCUCCAUUUCUUCUGCUACCACCUUGACCUAAGCCAUCAACGUAAGAAUCUCCCAACAGUCUCUCUAUGCUUCUACUUCUGUAGAAAUAUCACCUGCUCUCAGAGUACCAGCCUCAACUUAACAUUGAGAAAUAAAUGCCAACCUCAAGUUGUUCCUUGCUGGGGUCAUUAUUUGAUCAUGGUAGAAUCUAAAAAUCUCUCAAGCAGAGUGAGCAGAACGAAUGAACUUGCAACUCUGAAGAGGUGAGGCUGUUCCUGGGUGACCUCCGACACAGUUCCCAGGAAAGUAACAGUUCUCUUGGGCAGACGGGCAGUCAGUGACCUCUAUCAUUUUGCUAAAUGACGUUUAUUGCCUCAAAGAGAUAAGCUAGAAAACAUCUGUGCUGCAACAGUAAAUCUGGGGUUCAAUAAAGUUGGUUUAAAAUAUUCUUGACUUUCAGAAAGAAUUCUAAGAUUCAGAAAGAUUCUGCUUGAUUGUGAAAGAUUCCUGUCAUUCCAUCUCUGCCGUAUAGACACCAUUCCGAUGCGUCCACCAACCCGAGGUUGCAAAGCAUCAAAGAAUGUGGGCAGCCAGCAGGGGGAUUCAAAGAAAAAUAAAACAUGUGGCACCUUUUUUGAUUUCCGAUGCUCAGAAAGUUAGUUGCUGCCUCCUAACUGAUGAAUAUGGAUUUUGGUUUUGAGAACUAGUCACCACCGAGUGCUGCUAGCCUGUCCCGGUGCGUUGUCAAUGGAGACCAACAAAGCAGAUUCUACGCAGAAGUUCAAGUGCAGACUUUACUAUUUGUGGGAAACUGCAGAGCUGAACAAGCAAACCAAAUUAAACACAAAUGACUGCAGUGAAGAUAAUUGGCAGAUGGAAAGAAAACAGCUUUCCCAAAUCAAAGAGGCCAUAGAGUUGUUACAAAUGACACUUAGAUCAUAGAACAUGAUGGCAAUUCAAGAGUUUCAAAGUUCUUACAAUGUCAAUUUGAACAUUCAUCUAUUUAAUACAGAAUACCAAGUCUUAAUGUUUUGUGGCAUUGAACAAAGAAACUAUUCAAGCUCUUUCCUCAUGAAACAAGCAUUACAAACAGCUUCUACAAGUGAGUUACUUUAUUUAGGGUCCAAUUGUUAAUAAACAAGGCUUUUUGUAGAUAAAAGCUAAUCCCGCCACCAAAAUCAUUCUUGAAAGCCUUUUCCAAGAUACUUUUUUUGGUAUAUCUUCUUCUCUACAGCAGGAAAUGAACUGUCGAACUAUGGCUAUUCCGGCAGAAACCAACGUUCGAGAUUAGAAAAGGAUAUAAAGUUUGCCCGGGGGGUCCAGUCACCUCUACAGAAGUGUAGCUGCUUUAGGAUCACACAAGUCUGAAAGACUACACUUGCAUGUUCGGCAGGAUCUCCUGUGUCGGUCUCCUCUGAUCACACAACGUGACCAGCUCGCGCUCCGAGAUUACUGGCUCCCACAACCAAAACAAAGCACUGACUGACGCACUGCCUUUCCUUUGGGGCCGCAGACCCUAAGACCAGCAGGUUCAGUCACUAGACAGACCUUUAAGUACAAUGACAGCAGAGGUGGGCAUCAGAUGAGGGACUUUCCUUGGGGACUGAGGAUCAGUAACUGAAUCCGAACUUCUUUCUCCCGUUUUAGCCUCUGCCCAGGGCUGGGGGGGACCCCAAGUCCUGGGGGGAAGCCGGGAAUAAAGACGGCGGGGGUCUCAGCGACCAGGAAGCAUAGCUCCCCUCCAGUACACUCAGGAUAAGGUCCAGCGCUCAGUACAAAGCGUAUGGGGAGCUGGCCCGUGGCUUUUCUCCAAAGGGGCCUUCCUGGAGGCGCUCUCCCGCCCCCGUGGGGCACUUGCUUUAGGGCUGAGGUUGGCAGUAAAAAGGCGCGGUGACCGCGCAGCAGCCGCCACGCCGCGGACGGGUGGUCGCCGGUUCGCGCUGGGCCGCCCGAGGCCGGGAGCUGCGAUCCAACCCGGGAACGUCCAGCCCGCUGAACCCCAGCCCGCCACUCCCGCGGGGGCCCGAGCGGCCGCUUCCGGGUGAGCCAGCCCAGCCGCCGGCUCCCGCGUGGCUGCCCGGCUCCGCCGCGGGAUCGGCCCGGCUCGAGCCCCAGCCCCGCGCUGGGCACUCACCUCUCCCUGGAGUACAGCUGCAGCUGCCGCUCCCGCUGCUUCUUCCGGAUGAACGCCAUGGAGGGCGGGCUCGGCUGCGCCGCUGCGAGGAGGGCGCGGGCGGCCUGGCCCAGGGAGCGCGCCUGCGGCCUGGCGUCCGGCGUCGGCCGCGCUCAGCGCAGCAUCCUCUCCGCGUGGGGACUCGGCGCCGUGACUCAGGCCGGAGGAGGGGCGCACGGGGACCCAGGAGGGCCAGUCCUCACCCCUGAAGCCUCCGCCGCCCCAGUUCUGUAUUUUACAGCUGAAGACGGAAGCUUGCCCGUAAACUGCCAAUGCGUCGGCCACAGGAGCUCCGAACAACAUUUGGGUCUAGAAUCUCUUGGUAAUUAGUCACAUGACUGUUUUUAACAUGUGAGAUAGAACUCACAUGCCCAACAAUUCACCUAUCUAAAGCAUACCGUUCACUAGGUGUUAGGAUCAUUACAGGUGUGGACAUCUCUCUGCAGCUCAAACCCAGCAGGAGUUGGGAGGGUGGGGGGGGAGGGGCAGUGGAGGGCUUCCUGGGCACAGAGGCCUUUCAGCAGCUCCUGUUUCUUGUUUGAAGAAAAAGGCUUUAGUCUCCUAGGCCUGCCCUGAAUUCCAAAGGUUACUAACCUGGGUAGUGAGAGAAUGCAGACACAAAGGGAAAGGGGUCAAACACUGGUCUAUCUACAAAGUUCUAGGUCAAGGGACACACAUUCAUGGCUCUGAGCUCUUCUGCAGGAGUUAAGGACCCCCGGCCACGUGGAAGGUGGUAACUUCAGGCUGUGUACAAGAUUCUGGAACACCAACCAAUCACAAUAAAGUCACACACCCUUCACCCCAAAUUCUGCCUGUUAAAAACUCUUCCCUGAAGUCCAGCCAGGAGUUGGAGUUUUCGGAGCAGGAGUCACCCAGCUACCCGUCCUCUUUGGUUGGUCCCACAGUAAAUCUUUCUCUGCUCCAAACUCUGACAUUUCAGUUGAGUGGUCUCACUGUGCUUCAGGCACAAGACCUUUGGCUCCACAGCAGUCUGAAAUAUUUGCAUCACCUGAAGUUUGGAACUUGCCAUCAGCCUCUACACGGAGUAAAACAUGAGGCACUGCAGCUGCCAACCCACCGCACCUGGAAUGGAGCUCAGCCUGGAGACCAGGAGUGAGGCACUCUGUGCUCUGGGAAAACUGGAAGAACAGGUCUUCAGAUAUUUUUAUAAGAUUUAUGAGCCCAACUCUUGCAUCUCAUAUCUAGAAAAACACUAAAUCCUUCAAUGAUGACUGAGGUCUGCGGCUAUUAGCCGCCUUCAUGAAACCAGCAGCAAACUUCAUAAAAUGUGUGCAUAGCUGCAGGCCCCUUCCCCUUUACGACAAUAGUCCCCGUUUCCUCCAGGGGAGUAUUUCAGAGCUAUCUGAAACACUGCCUCCUGGGCUAUAGUUAGUGGACAAAAAGAUUUGUCAUCUCAGAGAACAGGCACUCCCAAAGGUGGGCCAGCGAGCCCUGAGGGAACUCAGGCAAGAAACAAAGACUGGCCCACAGCUGAGAGGCAUUAUCAAAAGAGUGAGUCCAGUAAGCCCACACCUUUAU